CCACGCUCUGCCUCUCAACUAUUCUGCCUGCAAACUUCGAAAAGCCCCAAAUUAAAACACAAAGCCUCUACAGAAGAAAGUGUAAAUCGACCGUAAUCCAUAAUUCUUUGCAAGAAGAAAACAUAUCUUAAGAAAAUAUUUGAAAAGACAUAGCAUCAAGGCCAUAAAAUUUGUAAGAUAUAAUCACAGCUUUUAUCGAUGUUAUGCACCUGUUGCACCAGUCAAAGUAAACCCCGACCCCACCCCCACCCC